UGAAGAAAAGGGAAGGAUUCUGGGGAAAUGGAGAGAGGAAGAAAGAGCCUUCAUCCAUAGAGGAGCAUGUGCAUGCCAAAUUCUCUAGAGAAAGAAAGAAAGGAUUCUGACUAUUUCAAGAUUUUAGAUUGGUAUAUACUCGUUUGUAGUUAGGCAUAAAACCUAGGUUUUCUUUCCCUCUCCCGCCUUAUUCUCUUCUCUGUUCGCUCUCUCCCAAACGACCUUGUACGAUCCGAAUUCAAUGAUUUUUCUUAUGUAAUGAGUAUCCAAAUGGCAAACCCGGCCAUUGUAUGCUCCCAUACUGUGAAUGGUGUUUCCAAAGUACAUUCAGAAUUGCGAAAAGCAAAAUUAUUCAAGGACUUCUAUGAGCUGUGGCCUCUGAAAUUUCAAUGCAAGACAAAUGGUGUUACCCAGGUAUAAAGUUCAUAGCAUCUUUUAUAAAGUACUUGCUAGUUUCAUUAGACUAUUCCUUCUGUUUAUGUGGUUGAAGAAGAAUGGUGAGAUACACACCUCCAAAGAUGGGUUUUGAUGGGUUUUGUAGUUUGUGCUGUUAUAGUUAUCAAAUAGGACUUAUGGAGCAGAGUGUUCCAAAGAGUUAAUUAAGUAAAAUAAUCUGCAGACUCUGAGUCUUCAAUAUUUUCUUGCUUAUGGAUAAGAAACAUUUGGCAAUC